UUUCAUCAUCUGAACUGAAGAACCAAUACAACUGGUGUGCAUAUGAAACUUGUGGAUUAAGGAUAAGUCUGCAAACACUAAACACCAUCCUUUCACCACAUUGUGUUCACGUAUUUUGACAAUCUCCUGACCAGUGAUCAGGGUAAGUACGCUUGCUUUGGCCCCUUAGUAACCACAUUUACUGUCACCAAGUGAGGAAUGCAACAGAACUGCAGAGGAAGAAUACUGGCAUGGCUAUCCUAACAAAGGGUUGCCUCAUUUUCUGGUGAAUGCCAUAAAAGUUGUAACAAGGUCAGAUAAAUUUCUUAUUAGUAUUUCCAAAUUAGAUACUGAGCUUAUGAUUCUCUUCAACAACAUUACCCACUAUACCCCCUACAUUGGUCAAAUUGCUUGGUACCAUUUAAUAUUUUGAACUAAAUAAGAAAGAUGGCUGUAAAGCACUAUAAUUUUCAACGCAAAACAACAUCUGAUUUCUAAAAACAUAGUUCAAGCCCAUUUCAUCACUUCAUUCCUAUAAAUAAUAGAAAGAGAUUCAGGCAUAGGGAAAAGUUGAAGUUUGUAAUUAUAAGUUAUAAAUUGCAUGUGAUGGGUGUAGUUCAAGGUAUAUUGGUCAAACUGGUAGAAAUUUUGAGAUACAUUGUAAGGAGCACAAUAAAAACUCACACUCCAAAUCAGUGUAAGUACCCACCCACAGGAAAUUGGGAAUUCAAUUACAGUUCUCCCCUCUAAUCUUCAGAUAAUGCAUCGAGAAACAAAGGGCUAUACAUUUAAUAGUUUGGAAGAAUUGGAAAUUUAUUACUCCUGAAAAAAAUUCCUGGUGAAAUACUCAAAGCACAUAUGAAUUUAUGCCACAGACACAAUUUGGCGAGUUUUGAUUGUUUAAAUAAGUAGUUUAUAGGUUACCAGAAGCAUAUUCUCUUCACAUCACCUUUAGAUGUCAGUAUAUGCAUCCCCUGGCUCAUUGGAGGAUUAGUUUAUUAAAAUUAUACAGCCACUUUUCACCCUUCUCAUUGACACACACCACUCGGCCACUCUCUAACUUCGCGCAUGCGCUAUUUUCCGCACAGCCUCACAACAGCAUUCUGCCAGUUUAGCUCAGUUUGAUGCCAUGCUACCUGCAUAAGCAGUCUACAUAUAAGGUAUGUGUUGAGCCUUGCUUCUUUCUUUCUGGUUUCUGUUUGAAGUUAGGCUAUGUUUAUUUGAUUUUGUUUAUUUGGAUGUUCUUACGGCACCUAUGGUUUUUCCAGUUUCUUUCGUUUUUCAUAUUUAAUGAGAUAUGCGCUUCUUUUACAGGUUGCUUUUUGGGCCCAGUCAUUUUAACUUGGACCACCGCUUUACAGCGAGUUACUUAUUUUUAUUGAUUUGAUGAUGAAUAAUGGGACUUGUCUACAUCUGUUUUUCCUGUACACUACAAUGACUUAAAAUAAAAGAUAAGUAUACUAUUCAUAGCAGCAUUAUGUGAUUCUGAUCACUUAUUUUUAUAAAUUGGUUAUUCUGAAGAGUAAAUAGGUUAUUCCCCCAAUGUACAGAUUACUUGAAGAUGCAUAUUGAGAAUGCAAAACUGGUCAUGGCCUUUCAGUAGAGGACUUUAACAGCCUGAUCGUAAGACCAUUUAUUCAGCAUUAUAAUUUUCAACUGAUCUGAUGCUGAUGAUUGUUAACUAGUUACUUACAAGUAAAUUAUUAUAAAUGAAAAUGAUGGUUUCACAUUGCAAUUAAUGUUUGCUGUUCUGGAACUUCCCAACAGGUAAGAAUGGCUCAUGAGGAUUUCCGGCAAAAGAUAAGGCUCCAAGCUGGCGGAGUCCCAGUCAGCACACAGUUUUUAUCCACAAGUAAAUAUCAAAGUGUAAUGCUGAUUGCUUAUACAGUUUCAGAAUAAAUUUAAAAAAAUAAAAAUAAAAAAAUAAAAAUAAAAACAUAAACUAGAACUGAAACAUACUUUUAAGAAAGUGCUUGAAGGGUAGUAUGUGAUGAUGUAUUAAAUAAUUGAAACAGUCUCCAAUUACUUCAAUAGAAUGAAAAAGUUCAAAGUGAUAUCAUUUUCACUUUCUGCUGAAAUGGUGGCAAUUACUAUUUACAGAGCCAUUUGUAGCUGUCAUAAAGCAGCUGGUGGUAAGUACAGGCAUUCAUAAUUCUACAUACAGUGAAGUCAUCUACCCCAGAAAUGUUUUGUAAGGCACAAUGGCAUGUGUGGUUCAUGAAGAACGUACUACAUUUCACCAGAAGUAAAAAUUACUGUACUGACUUUAACAAUGUUAAAUUUUAUCACUUUCUAAGAGGUGCUAUGGGAAUUUUGAAGAAGCCAACAAUUGAGUCAACGAACUUAUGGAUACAUAAGACUGAAGGAUGAGAAGUGUUGCAAUAGCAAACACAAAUAAUGGAGUCACCUGCUACAUACAUGUCAAUGAUGAUUAGUCUGUAAAUGAUUUCUCAGUUCUCUCAUUCCCUGAUGGGUAUUAACUUGGGGUCAUUCUUUCGUCUCCCACAAACAAAAAUGGAAAUUUUGUGAAAGCCAGUUUAACACACACACUACUGAAACAUGUAGAAGCUGCUUUGUCGGAGAAAUUUUCAAAAUAACCUGAAAGAAUAUAAACUGAAAAUUUCUAAACAUAGAGAUCCUUGAAAAUAUGUUUACAUUUUUGGUCAAUAAAAUAUCCCUAAUGAUUUUGGUGACAAAAACUGUGUGUAUUCUUGAAUAUUAUUUUUUUGAGAUAUAAUGUUGUUGCACAGAAUGAAGCAGAUUAAAAUGAGAGCUGAAGUUUCAAUCAAACUUUAAAAAUUCAAGGGAGCAAAUGUAGUAAAUAAAAUGGCUGAAAGCUGGUCAAAAUAUUGGUUCUUAUUUAAUUUCAUUUCUAAAUAUCACACUGCACUAUAGCCCAAGAGGAUUUCUUUUAUGCCGACACUGGCUGCAGAAAUGUGUUGAGUUUGAUUUACAAAUAUUUAUGCAUUUCUGCAUAAUAUUCCUAAUUUAAUGUUUGUGAUACAUAAGACUAAUAACAAAUGAGGCAAGCUGCCAAGGAUAAUUUCUGUUAUCAGGAACUUUUCUGUUAUCAACAACUUUUAUGGAGCUAUUCUUAAACAACAGUCUAGGUAUUACAGGCUAACUGCUGGGCCGGUCUUACAGAUAUGUGGAACUAACGUGUGUUGUCUACCAGCAUUAAAGAAUAAAACUGAAUAUUAUAAUCAUAACAAUUACUGGUUUAUGUCUGUAUCGUUGCAACAAGCCUGUGAGUAAGAAGAACAAAACAUUGGUGGGCAUAUAGAACGAAAAUCUUAUUACAGUUAUUUUGCAUAUUAUAAUUUUGAUAAUAUAACAUGAAUUUUUGACAUUUGAUUGUUUAAAAUUCUAUCAAUCUUGACUGGCUUGUACAGUGUUCUGUGUUUCAGUGAUAUCUAUGUCACUGUAAAUAUAAAAUAUGUUGAAACAUCUAUAACUGGUAUUGUCAACACAACACAUUAUCACAUAUGUAAUAAGAAUAUAACAUUUUAUAAACAUUACAAAAGAAGAACAGCAUCUGCUUAUCAUAUAUUGAAACAGUUGGUACAAGCCUGCCCCCCCCCCCCCCCAAAAACACACACACACACACACACACACACACACACACACACACACACACACACACACACACAGAGAGAGAGAGAGAGAGAGAGAGAGAGAGAGAGAGAGAGAGAGAGAUGUUAAAUCUCUAGCUUUCAGAACGUUUCAAGCUGCUUGUCAUACAGGGAACAGAAAUAGGUAAAAGAGAGUUUUACAGAUAUCUGAAGGAAGAAUAUUUCACCUUUAAUCCUAGAGGUGAGAGCUAAAAUUUUACAGUUUCUCUUUAUUUCAAUUUUGUGUGUGCCUACUAAUGCAGGAACUGUUCGAAUAGCUUUGAAAGAUAAAGAUUCAAUACAAAUUUCCCCAUUUGUGCAUGAACCAGUAGUGUUCUAAUUUGAGCUGUUGCAACCACUGGUAAGUUCACACUUUUCUUCAGUCUUAAAUAAUGCUAACACUUACAUUUAACUUUAUAUUUUUAAUUUAAACACAUGAAAUGUUACUUUCUCACUCAAUACAAAAACUUACUACUACAAAGGGUGAGUGCCAAAAGACACAUAUUUAUGUUUUCAUUCUUAUUUCUGGAGUACAUUAUGGAGUCAGCAAUUAUAAAUGAGACUUGUUCUUGAAUCAAAAUAGAAAAAUCAAUAAUUCAGUACCACACUUAUGGGUAUGCUCAGGACCUUUUCUACAUAGCACCUUCAACUGUCCACGAGUUCCUUCUGUUUUGUUUUCACAUACACAAGAAAGCUGGGUAGUAAGCAGUAAUGCACAGUUUCUUUCGCUGGUUUCCUAGCUUAAGACUUUCACAGUAGGACGAUUGAGAGAGUUCAGAAUGAGCAGUAGCCUCAAGCCAUUAUAUGGGGAACUAUGAAAAGCAUUCAACACACUACAGAUGAUUACUUCCAUUCUCAUUUAAAUUUUCAUUAGUGCUAAAUGAUUUCAUAAUUAAUUUCUCAUACAGUUACAAUAAGAAAAUUACUUUUUAUGGUUAUGGCUACAAACCAAUACUUUUCUGUGUAUUUAGAUAGAACAUGACAGCAUUGCCCGCUUCUGUGGUGGAGGUCAACAAAUUGUAGAGGACUCAUGUAGUUCCUUUACCUCAUGCUGAUAGGGUGGCUCCAUGAGAGAAAUCAUUUUCACUGGCAUAUUGGGUUUGCUGCACAGGAAAGGUAAUGUUCCAAAGACAAAUUGUUUAACUGUGUUCUAAGCCAAAGCAAAACUACCCAGCAAUAUCUUACCAAGAGAAGGUCACUAGUAAGUUCUUCAUUCAAUGGAAACAUUAAAUUAACCGGUGUUCUACUGAUUUUAAGUUAAUCCCAUUUCCAACAAUGCAAACAUUAUAUUAUGCUUAAUAUACACACACAGCCACUGGUUUUUACAGUAACACAUUAGGUACAAAUAAACUUACGAACAAUGCAGUUCUUCGUGGCUAUAGUCGUGGAUAAAUAUUUCAUGCAUUUGUUGCCACUUCAAUCUCUGAAACAUUUACCCACACACGUAAGAAGUUGUAAGCUGAGAUUAAAUAAUGGCCUACAAGAUGUCUAGUGCUGCACUUGUAAGCAAACUGUGUAUGUACAGCUACAUGAAACAGCCUGAAACGGGGAGCAAACAUUAUGAUGAAGAUUUCGUCACUGAAAUGUAUGCUUUCAUAAUUUGAAAAACUAUGCACAUGAAAAUAAUAAUUUUGUGUUAUGUUAUAACUCUACAUAUUUGCUGUUUAGUAGAUACAUUGUGGUAACUAAUGAUCAGUCAAAUUCAUUAACUACUAGUGUAAGUUAAUCAACUGCCAAUGGAUCCAUUAACUGUUCAAUGAAGUAAUACAACACAGUUAACUGUUCUGUUCCAAUAACAACAAUCAAACAUGUCUCAUUUGUAUUUGCACUCCAUUCCCUACAAAUUAAAUAAUUUAAUCAUGGCCUAAGACUGAAUUUGUCGACAGUCUGCAUAUUACUGAAAUUCUGUGUAGGUUGUCACCAUUUGCUUGGAAAUGUACUCUUACACCUAUUCUUCUGAGCUACUUAGAAUUAUCAGUUCUUCUCUCUGUCUUCAGAAUACACAAAUACACUUUGUGUGUGUUUUCACCACCCACACCCCUACAGUUUUUCUAUUUCAUGUAUAACAAUAAAUCUAAGCAGAAGUACUAAGUAACAAACAGAUUUGAAUUAAUUAUAUAAUUGUACUUAAAAACUGCAUCAGCAUGUGUUCUAUAGGUACACUACUUUAAAUAUAACACAAAUAAGACCAAGACACGAAAUUUUUAAAAAUGUCUUUGUUUUACAAUCGCUAGGACAGUGACAAAGGCAUACUACAUUCAUUAAAAAAUUACUUAAGAGCUUUAAAACUUGUUUGGUGUAGUGAACAUAGAUGUUUCUGAAAAUAAAAUAACACAUUUAAUGCAUGACAAUAUUUAUCACAAACAUGGGAGAAGUACUUUAGCCUAUUAUAAUUUUCUAUAAAGUUAGCUGUUUCACAACUGACAUUUCAAAUACUCUAUCUUAAUACUGUUGUUUUGUUUCCACUUUACCCUGUACAAGCCAAAUUCUGAUCACAGUUUACAGCCACAUUUGCACAUCCUGAAAGUAAAAACUUCAAUGCAAAGAAUGUGUCUGAAAAAAUGUUACAAAACAGUAUUGUAUGUGCACAUUAAAAGUACAUCUAUCCACACAAAACAUAUUAAUUCUCUGUUUCACUCUUAACUUACAAAAUAAUUUUGUCAAGCAAAUCUAGCCUCUCUCCUGUGAAGUAUGAACAGUUUAGUCACUGUAGUUUUAAGAAACACUGGACUUUGUAAGAAACAGAAGUGGGCCAUCAGUCAUCAGGCAGAACAUAAGGUACAAUGCUAGGGAAAUGUUCCCCUAAGAACUUACGUAAACACGAACAAGUACA